UAGAAUGUGUUGUCUUGCUGUUCCCAUAGCC
rnacentral:piRNA from 1 species